rnacentral:rRNA from 1 species
GAGAUAGCUGGUUCUCCCCGAAAGCUAUUUAGGUAGCGCCUCGUGAAUUCAUCUCCGGGGGUAGAGCACUGUUUCGGCUAGGGGGCCAUCCCGGCUUACCAACCCGAUGCAAACUGCGAAUACCGGAGAAUGUUAUCACGGGAGACACACGGCGGGUGCUAACGUCCGUCGUGAAGAGGGAAACGAACCCAGACCGCCAGCUAAGGUCCCAAAGUCAUGGUUAAGUGGGAAACGAUGUGGGAAGGCCCAGACAGCCAGGAUGUUGGCUUAGAAGCAGCCAUCAUUUAAAGAAAGCGUAAUAGCUCACUGGUCGAGUCGGCCUGCGCGGAAGAUGUAACGGGGCUAAACCAUGCACCGAAGCUGCGGCAGCGACACUGUGUGUUGUUGGGUAGGGGAGCGUUCUGUAAGCCUGUGAAGGUGUGUCGUGAGGCAUGCUGGAGGUAUCAGAAGUGCGAAUGCUGACAUAAGUAACGAUAAAGCGGGUGAAAAGCCCGCUCGCCGGAAGACCAAGGGUUCCUGUCCAACGUUAAUCGGGGCAGGGUGAGUCGACCCCUAAGGCGAGGCCGAAAGGCGUAGUCGAUGGGAAACGGGUUAAUAUUCCCGUACUUGGUGUUACUGCGAAGGGGGGACGGAGAAGGCUAUGUUGGCCGGGCGACGGUUGUCCCGGUUUAAGCGUGUAGGUGUGUGUUCCAGGUAAAUCCGGUUCACUUUAACACUGAGGCGUGACGACGAGGCACUACGGUGCUGAAGCAACAAAUGCCCUGCUUCCAGGAAAAGCCUCUAAGCAUCAGGUAACAUCAAAUCGUACCCCAAACCGACACAGGUGGUCAGGUAGAGAAUACCAAGGCGCUUGAGAGAACUCGGGUGAAGGAACUAGGCAAAAUGGUGCCGUAACUUCGGGAGAAGGCACGCUGACACGUAGGUGAAGUGAUUUACUCAUGGAGCUGAAGUCAGUCGAAGAUACCAGCUGGCUGCAACUGUUUAUUAAAA